AGUUAAUUAGCUUUAUCAAGUAUAUAUUUUGAAAAUAUAUGAAAGGAUUAAUAAUCCUAUUAACUU
rnacentral:tRNA from 1 species